rnacentral:rRNA from 1 species
AAACUUUCAACAACGGAUCUCUUGGUUCUGGCAUCGAUGAAGAACGCAGCGAAAUGCGAUAAGUAAUGUGAAUUGCAGAAUUCAGUGAAUCAUUGAAUCUUUGAACGCACAUUGCGCCCCUUGGUAUUCCGGGGGGCAUGCCUGUUCGAGCGUCAUUU